rnacentral:rRNA from 1 species
CGGAGGGCAGCUACCCAGCGAUGGGAUGCGAAUCUCGAAAGCCUGUCUCAGUUCGGAUUGGAGGCUGAAACCCGCCUCCAUGAAGUUGGAUUCGCUAGUAAUCGCGCAUCAGCCAUGGCGCGGUGAAUACGUUCCCGGGCCUUGUACACACCGCCCGUCAAGCCAUGGAAGCUGGGGGUGCCUGAAGUUCGUGACCGGAAGGAGCGACCUAGGGCAAAACCGGUGACUGGGGCUAAGUCGUAACAAGGUAUC